CAGCAACUUCACCUGGAUCUGUCUCACAUUUACUAACUGCAUGGGUGUAAUGUGACAGGAGCACAAGGCUUUGUGUCUGGAAAGGAGACAAUACAUAUUUAUUUAAUGGCACAGUGCAAGAGGAGGUUGUGAAAACAAGCCUGCAGAAGAUGGUGGCAUGACUAUGAAUUAUGAUUGGAUUUAAUUGGAUGAAGAAGAAUAUAAGGACUAAUAUUCAAUGUUCCUCAUGAAAUCAUUUUUACCUCUACACCCAAAUGUAAAUCUUGCUAACCAACAUUAUUGUUAUGCUUUACUUUAUGUAUCAUUGGAUGUAUGCUUUAAGACAAAAUCUCUUUCGCUCAUAUAUGAAGAGUUCUCAUUUCUAAUUAAUUCAGUCUAUUUUUAGAAUUUAAGUUUUAUAUCACAAUAAAGUGGCAGAGAAAUUGAUGAAAUAAAUAAAAGAUGUACAAAAAAAGUAUGUUGUGGUCAAUAUAUACGUAAAUUCAUAUAGGGGAGGGCUGGCAAUGGGGUACAUUAAAUUCCUGUAUAGCUCUUUCUUUUUUGAGAGCUCUGGUAAAUGAUGUCAUACUUUGACUAUGUUACUUAGCCAGAGAGGAAAAAAGACAGUUAUAUUGCUGAAUUAUUUCUGUUCUCGAGUUAAGAAAGAAAAUUUACGGUAAUUAGCUUGUGUUGCCCCAUGGGCC